GUUGGUGUAGCUCAGUGGUAGAGUGCAUGCUUUGUAUGUAUGAUGUCUUGGGAUCAGUCCCCAGCAUCUCCC